UUCUAUUCAACGUUUUCACAAUUCAUUCAACCACAAUCCAUUUUGACCUACUGUAGGUCAAUAGUAAGGUCAAAUUAUUUUACAUGUUUGAUGAAAUGCUUGCGAGUCUACUGAGCUGAGUUCAGUGAGAUUUUAGCACUCUCGUGCUACCCUGCUGCAUUUUGCAGGAUAUUCUUAAUUUCAGUCUUCAUUUUCCACCCUCUGAAAUCGAAUCGAAAAAUCUCUCGAUCUUUUUAUGGUGACUGAUAUAAUCAAGAAAAAUAAUUAUUUUAUCAUGAUCAUGAAAAGUAUUUUGUGUUUUGUUAAUGUACACAGUGCUUAAAAAUAUUUUUUGAGUACUUAAAAUGACUUAAAAGGAGCUUAUUUUUGUUGAAAGAUUUGGCCACGCAGCCAGGCUAUAUAUUAGUGAAAUUGGCACUUAUUUUUUGAGGAA